UUCCCAUCCACAGCUCACGCAACCACGGAAACAGAGCCGUUAGUCCGUCCGUCAGCUCGAUUCUAUCGUUUCCCCUUCCUGCUAUUCCUGCUAAACGCUAGCCCCCAUGAAUAAAAAAGCGCUCGUCAGCUCACUGCCGCACAAAUCAAAGAGCUCGAUUUAAGUGUGGAUAGCUUAUCCUCUGCGGAACUUCACACUCGGCAGCAAUAGGAUUGAUUUGGGCGGCAGCAAGGUAAAUCUCGAUGGAUCUCGAUUUGGGCAGUGAGGAGUUCAAUUUUUGAUGCUCCUCAUUGGCUACCUCAAGUCAAGGUCCCAUGAUGGAACAUCGAGCUGGGAUGCGUGGGUCCUUGGGUUCGAGUUGCUGAUGCAUGAGCUUUGGUGACAACAUGAAGGCGACAGUGUAUCAUUCAAGGAAUUUUGAUCCCAGAGAAAUUUGGCGAGGAUGUGGCAGGAGAGGUCGGCGGUACGAUGAGGCUCGUCCCUUGUGGCAGUAAUUGCGGUGCCAAAUCCAUGUAGUUGGCUUCAUUGGUCGACGUGUGAUGAUCUGGCCGAGAUGCCUUUACCGGUGUGUUGAAGAGGUGUGUUGAGGAGGAAGAUGUAAAUCUGAUAAUUAUCCUCCCGAUGCGGUUGUAAUUGGCGCCAUUUUUUUCAGAACCAGACAGCUUUUCCCUCCAUUAAUUUCACCUAACUUCCGUAA